UACGUAGGGUGCAAGCGUUGUCCGGAAUUAUUGGGCGUAAAGAGCUCGUAGGCGGUUUGUCGCGUCUGCUGUGAAAACUCGAGGCUCAACCUCGGGCUUGCAGUGGGUACGGGCAGACUAGAGUGCGGUAGGGGUGACUGGAAUUCCUGGUGUAGCGGUGGAAUGCGCAGAUAUCAGGAGGAACACCGAUGGCGAAGGCAGGUCACUGGGCCGCAACUGACGCUGAGGUGCGAAAGCGUGGGGAGCAAACAGG
rnacentral:rRNA from 1 species